AGAGUUUGAUCCUGGCUCAGGAUGAACGCUGGCGGCGUGCUUAACACAUGCAAGUCGAACGUGAGGGGGUAGCAAUAUCCCUGAAAGUGGCGAACGGGUGGGUAACACGUAGGUGACCUGCCCUGGAGCGGGGGAUAACCACUGGAAACGGUGGCUAAUACCGCAUGGUUCUGGCGGGAUGGGAAUCUCGGCGGAUAAAACUACGGUGCUCUGGGAGGGGCCUGCGGCCGAUUAGCUAGUUGGUGGGGUGACGGCUCACCAAGGCGACGAUCGGUAGCUGGUCUGAGAGGACGAUCAGCCACACGGGAACUGAGACACGGUCCCGACUCCUACGGGGGGCAGCAGUGAGGAAUAUUGGGCAAUGGGGGGAACCCUGACCCAGCAACGCCGCGUGAAGGAUGACGGCCUUCGGGUUGUAAACUUCUUUUGUGGGGGAAGAGGGAGGACGGUACCCUGCGAAUAAGUCACGGCUAACUACGUGCCAGCAGCCGCGGUAAUACGUAGGUGACGAGCGUUAUCCGGAAUUACUGGGCGUAAAGCGCACGCAGGCGGCCUGUUAAGUUUGGCGUGAAAUCUCUCGGCUUAACUGGGAGGGAGCGUUGAAGACUGGCGGGCUUGAGACAGCGAGAGGGGUGUGGAAUUCCCGGUGUAGUGGUGGAAUGCGUAGAGAUCGGGAGGAACACCAGAGGCGAAAGCGACACCCUGGCGCUGGACUGACGCUCAGGUGCGAAAGCGUGGGGAGCGAACGGGAUUAGAUACCCCGGUAGUCCACGCGGUAAACGAUGAGUACUGGGUGUGGGUGGAGUUAGAUCCAUCCGUGCCGAAGCGAACGCGCUAAGUACUCCGCCUGGGGAGUACGGCCGCAAGGUUAAAACUUAAAGGAAUUGACGG
rnacentral:rRNA from 1 species